GUCUCUCCAUCUCUCUGUCUCUGUUUCCUCCUCUCUCCAUCUCCCUCUCUCUGUUUCCUCCUCUCUCCAUCUCUCUCUCUCUGUUUCCCCCUCUCUUCAUCUCUGUCUCUCUGUUUCCCCCUCUCUCCACCUCUCUCUCUCUGUUUCCCCCUCUCUCCAUCUCUCUCUCUCUGUUUCCCCCUCUCUCCAUCUCACUUUCUCUCUCUCUGUUCCCCCUCUCUCCAUCUCUCUCUCUCUCUUUCUCCAUCUCACUUUCUCUCUCUCUGUUUCCCCCUCUCUCCAUCUCUCUCUCUCUGUGUCCCCCUCUCUUCAUCUCUCUCUCUCUGUUUCCCCCUCUCUCCAUCUCUCUCUCUCUGUUUCUCCCUCUCUCCAUCUCUCUCUCUCUGUUUCCCCCUCUCCAUCACUCUCUCUCUGUUUCCCCCUCUCUCCAGCUCUCUCUCUCUGUUUCCCCCUCUCUCCAUCUCUCUCUCUCUCUCUCUCUCUCUCUCUCUCUGUUCCCCCUCUCUCCAUCUCACUUUCUCUCUCUCUGUUCCCCCUAUCUCCAUCUCUCUCUCUCUGUUUCUCCAUCUCACUUUCUCUCUCUCUGUUUCCCCCUCUCUCCAUCUCUCUCUCUCUGUGUCCCCCUCUCUCCAUCUCUCUCUCUGUUUCCCCCUCUCUCCAUCUCUCUCUCUCUGUUUCUCCCUCUCUCCAUCUCUCUCUCUGUUUCCCCCUCUCUCCAUCUCUCUCUCUCUGUUUCCCCCUCUCUCCAUCACUCUCUCUCUGUUUCCCCCUCUCUCCAUCUCUCUCUCUCUGUUCCCCCUCUCUCCAUCUCACUCUCUCUCUCCCUGUUUCUCCCUCUCCCUCCAUUUCACCUCAAUCCAGUCCAAUUCAAUUCUUCAUUGGCAUGAUAAACACAGACUUAUCUGGAAAGGACAUCUCUCAGAUCCACUUUUGGUUCAUCACUCAGAGGACAACACACACAUACAGUCACACAUACCACACACUUGCGCAGAUAUGACACAGUCACACACACACACACACACACACACACUUGCGCAGAUACGACACAGACACACAUACACACACUCACGCAGAUAUGACACACACACUCACACUCGUGCA
rnacentral:lncRNA from 1 species